GAGCGGGGCGUCCAGCGGCAGCUCUUCCCGCCUCACUCCUUCAUCCUCUCCCACACUCGCUCCGCUCCUCCUCAUCCAGCGCCGGAGCCAGACUGCAGCUCAGGCAUUUUAUGAUUUAACUGCAGGGAUAGAUGACGGUAAUGAAGACGGCUCCUCACCGUCUGCUCCUCAUGGGGUAACAUCAGAUGAUAAUCUGCUUCACAGCACAUGUGUCAGAUGGAAGGAAUGCUAAUCUGGAAGAGGUGCAGAGCUAGGACUUUUUGGCAGCCAGUUUCCACUCUGCACUUACUUUCCAUGUGGUGCCGCUCCAGAGGCUCCGGGCAGGAGAAGUCUGUUUGGGGAACAGAGGUGUUGACGGAUCCCAGAUCGCCCCAUUGGCCACGCCCCCCCAUCCGAGGGUCACGGCUCUGCUGGACAACUGACCUGAACUUCUGUUCCAACAUCAUGUCCAGAUCUGUAGUUCAUAUUAGGGUCUAGAAUGGAGGAUUGUGAUUUCUGAAUGAAGAUGUGAAAUGUGCGAGACCCAGGUUUCCUGAUCUUCACCUGUCAACAGGUUUUACACCAGAGAGCUGUUUGUUUGCACUCUACAAUCCCUGAAUGGUAAAUGAAUCAAAUACUCAGUACUGUGCUUAAACUGUGGACAGCGAUGAUAUAUAUUAGAUCAGCAAAGGGUUAUUAAAAUCAACUAAAACUGAACUUUAAAGUUGGCUUGAGAAAGCCUAGCCUGAAAGUUUAGAUAAACAGAUUAGAUAAAUCUUGGUAGUAUAUUGCUAGCAUGAUUUAACACAUUGUUAACAUGAUUUAACAUUUUGUUAGCAUGUUUUAACAUGAUUAGCAUGUUUCUAGCAUGAGUAGCAAGAUGCUAACAUGUUUUGAACAUUAUUAGCAUGUUGCUAGCAUUUUUAUAACACGGUCAGCAUGUUGCUAACAUGUUUCUAGCAUGAUUACCACGUUGCUAGCAUAUUUUUAGCGUGAUUUAACGUUGCUAAAAUUAAUUAAAAAAAUUAGCUGAAAAACAGCUGAUUUAAAAAAAUAAAUAAAUAAAUAAAAACCAAGCUAAAACCAACCUAGGCUGGUUUUCUAGUCUUAACUGGUUUAAGAUGAAAAUAGCUGGAAAAUUAGCAGAUCUCUCAGCCUGACCAGCUAAAAAGUGGCCAAAACCACUUGAAAACCAGACCAAUCAGCUUAGGCUGGUUUUAGCUGUUUUGUCAGUAGGGAGUUGUUGCUUUGCUAUAGCAAUAGACAGCUUAAAUACACCAUAAGUCUCAUUGUACAAAAGUUUUCACCUCCUCUAUGAAAGUCUAUGUAAUUUUUGGUGGAUUUGAUAGUCUGGUUUACAAAAACCGUAAGUCGGGUCAGUCAGAAAAGACACAGCACACCAAGUCAGACCUGUCUGAAGACCUCACCCAAGUUUGGUGGUUGUAGUUUGGAGGAGUUAAAAUUUAACUCUUAAGUUUAAAUUAAGUUUAAAUUUUGGCUCAGAAGAAGCUUAAAUACUAAAUCAGUAAGUUGGCUUUCUCAAACCAAUUUAAUAAAUUAUAUGUAUAGUACUAAUACUAAUUAUACUGCAGUCCCACAUUAGAUUUGUACACUUGAAUUUCAAUAAAGUAAUUAAAGUACUUGAUUUGGUCAUGAACAGCUGUUUCAUACAACAUGGUUGUGUUAAUGAUUCAAUGACUCGCACCACAUGGUGGCACAAAAAUAUUGUCACUUGUUGUCAUUUUCUAUAAUGUACAGUAUAGUGUAAUGUCAUGCAUGAGCGUUUGUUACUAAGCGAGUUGUGACUGUAUCUGUAUUGGAACAGAAUCAGAAUCAGCUUAAACCAGAAGCACAUCAAACUAAACGAAAACCCCAUUUUUAAAUGUAACUCUAGUCCAUGUGUAGUUUCCAUUAUGUAUAAUUCACAAAUAUAUAUAUAUAUAUACACAUAUAUUGAGCUAAAUAAAAGAUUUUGAUUCCUCUCAGAGACUGGACUGUUUUGAGUCUGUUCACCAAAAAGAUUAAUUCAUUCUCCCUAUCUUCAGGUAACACGUUACACAGUAAUACUUUACUUUAUUCUUAUUACUUUUCCUGAUCAUGCAAUAAUGUAAUGCAUUACAUUUUAAAUGUAUGUAAUUUUAUUACAGUUACUAAUGUCAACAAAAUUACGUUACUUAAGUUACAAACGCAG